UACGAAGGGGGCUAGCGUUGCUCGGAAUCACUGGGCGUAAAGGGUGCGUAGGCGGGUCUUUAAGUCAGGGGUGAAAUCCUGGAGCUCAACUCCAGAACUGCCUUUGAUACUGAGAGUCUUGAGUCCGGGAGAGGUGAGUGGAACUGCGAGUGUAGAGGUGAAAUUCGUAGAUAUUCGCAAGAACACCAGUGGCGAAGGCGGCUCACCUG
rnacentral:rRNA from 1 species